rnacentral:rRNA from 1 species
AUUGAACGCUGGCGGCAGGCCUAACACAUGCAAGUCGAGCGGAUGACAGGAGCUUGCUCCUUGAUUCAGCGGCGGACGGGUGAGUAAUGCCUAGGAAUCUGCCUGGUAGUGGGGGACAACGUUCCGAAAGGAACGCUAAUACCGCAUACGUCCUACGGGAGAAAGCAGGGGACCUUCGGGCCUUGCGCUAUCAGAUGAGCCUAGGUCGGAUUAGCGAGUUGGUGGGGUAAUGGCUAACCAAGGCGACGAUCCGUAACUGGUCUGAGAGGAUGGUCAGUCACACUGGAACUGAGACACGGUCCAGACUCCUACGGGAGGCAGCAGUGGGGAAUAUUGGACAAUGGGCGAAAGCCUGAUCCAGCCAUGCCGCGUGUGUGAAGAAGGUCUUCGGAUUGUAAAGCACUUUAAGUUGGGAGGAAGGGCAGUAAGCUAAUACCUUGCUGUUUUGACGUUACCGACAGAAUAAGCACCGGCUAACUCUGUGCCAGCAGCCGCCGUAACAC